GGGCGUUUUGUCUAGUGGUAUGAUUCUCGCUUUGGGUGCGAGAGGUCGCGAGUUCGAUUCUUCCAACGCCCC
rfam:Hordeum vulgare subsp. vulgare, WGS project CAJW01000000 data, contig: morex_contig_119837